rnacentral:misc_RNA from 1 species
AACCAUUCUCACCUGCGGCUAGACCUGCGGAGGGAUCGUUACCGAGUUAGGGUAGUCACACUGCCCGACCUCCCAACCCUGUGUCUACCAUACCUUGUCGUUGCUUCGGCGGACCGGUUGACCAACUGGUCAUGACCGCCGGGGGCUGGCUCUGUCCCCCCUGGAGAGCGUCCGCCGAUGGCCCAACCACAAAACUCUUGUACCGAAACGUGUCGUCUGAAUUAUGUUUGAGAAAUCAAA